UCCGCAGGCGGGCGAGCAAGUCGGUGGUGAAAGCCUUUGGCUCAACCAAAGAACUGCCUCCGAAACUGCUUGUCUUGAGUUCGAGAGAGGAUGAUGGAAUUCAUGGUGUAGCGGUGAAAUGCGUAGAUAUCAUGAAGAACACCGGUAGCGAAGGCGGUCAUCUGGCUCGAUACUGACGCUCAGGGACGAAAGCGUGGGGAGCAAACAGGAUUAGAUACCCUGGUAGUCCACGCCUUAAACGAUGGAUGUUCGGUGUCGGUCCCGCAGAGCACUUGUGAAAAAACAAGUUCCCUGCGGGAUCGGUGCCUGAGCUAACGCGUUAAACAUCCCACCUGGGGAGUACGAUCGCAAGGUUGAA
rnacentral:rRNA from 1 species